UGGGAAUAUUGGACAAUGGGCGGAAGCCUGAUCCAGCAACGCCGCGUGAGGGAUGACGGCCUUCGGGUUGUAAACCUCUUUCAGUACCGACGAAGCGGAAGUGACGGUAGGUACAGAAGAAGCACCGGCCAACUACGUGCCAGCAGCCGCGGUAAUACGUAGGGUGCGAGCGUUGUCCGGGAUUAUUGGGCGUAAAGGGCUCGUAGGCGGUUUGUCGCGUCGGGAGUGAAAACACUGGGCUUAACUCAGUGCUUGCUUCCGAUACGGGCAGACUAGAGGCAUGCAGGGGAGAACGGAAUUCCUGGUGUAGCGGUGAAAUGCGCAGAUAUCGAGAGACACGGUGCG
rnacentral:rRNA from 1 species